UACGAAGGGGGCUAGCGUUGCUCGGAAUUACUGGGCGUAAAGCGUGCGCAGGCGGCUGUGCAAGACAGGUGUGAAAUCCCCGGGCUUAACCUGGAACUGCACUUGUGACUGCAUGGCUGGAGUACGGCAGAGGGGGAUGGAAUUCCGCGUGUAGCAGUGAAAUGCGUAGAUAUGCGGAGGAACACCGAUGGCGAAGGCAAUCCCCUGGGCCUGUACUGACGCUCAUGCACGAAAGCGUGGGGAGCAAACAGG
rnacentral:rRNA from 1 species